rnacentral:rRNA from 1 species
UACAGAGGUCUCAAGCGUUGUUCGGAUUCAUUGGGCGUAAAGGGCGCGUAGGCGGUCGAUCAAGUCCGGGGUGAAAUCUUUCGGCUCAACCGGAAAAGUGCCUUGGAUACUGAUCGGCUGGAGGGAGGUAGGGGCAGCUGGAACUUCCAGUGGAGCGGUGGAAAUGCGUUGAUAUUGGAAGGAACUCCGGUGGCGAAAGCGAGCUGCUGGACCUCUUCUGACGCUGAGGCGCGAAAAGCUAGGGGAGCAAACGGG